CUUGUUGGUGAACGAGCUUUUCGGGUUUUGUUUGCUGGAGUUUCUCUGCCAUUGGCUGUUAGCACUGUGUUAUGGCAGCUCCAAAGUGUUCCCGGACUGCAUCAACUUGUGUGGCUCAGUUCGUUUAUCUCCUUCUUCUUCCUCUAUCCUUCAACUUUUAAUCUGCUGGAGGUCGCAGCGGUCGAUAAACCGAAAAUGCACCUUUGGGAAACAGGCAUCAUUAGAAUAACUAGGCAUCCACAGAUGGUUGGACAGGG
rnacentral:misc_RNA from 1 species